rnacentral:tRNA from 1 species
GGAGACAUGGCUCAGUGGUAGAACACCUGCUUAGCAAGCACAAAGUCCUGAGUUCAAAUCUCAGUACUGCCC